GACGAACGCUGGCGGCGUGCUUAACACAUGCAAGUCGAACGAAGUGGCGAACGGGUGAGUAACGCGUAAUCAACCUGCCCUUCAGAGGGGGACAACAGUUGGAAACGACUGCUAAUACCGCAUACUGAAGGAGGGGAUUGCGUCUGAUUAGCUAGUUGGAGGGGUAACGGCCCACCAAGGCGAUGAUCAGUAGCCGGUCUGGGGGGGUGGACGGCCAAAUUGGGACUGAGGAACGGGCCAGACUCCUACGGGGGGCAGCAGUGGGGAAUCAUCCGCAAUGGAGGAAAGGCUGACGGAGCAACGGCGCGGGGGUGAUGACGGCCUUCGGGUUGUAAAGCUCUGUUAAUCGGGACGCGGUACCGGAAUAGAAAGCCACGGCUAACUACGUGCCAGCAGCCGCGGUAAUUC
rnacentral:rRNA from 1 species